UACAGAGGGGGCAAGCGUUAUUCGGAAUUAUUGGGCGUAAAGGGCGCGUAGGCGGCCUGGCAAGUGACGGGUGAAAGCCCUCGGCUUAACCGAGGAACUGCCUGUCAGACUGUUAGGCUUGAGACCGGGAGAGGUGAGUGGAAUUCCCAGUGUAGCGGUGAAAUGCGUAGAUAUUGGGAAGAACACCGGUGGCGAAGGCGGCCAUCUGGACCGCAACUGACGCUGAGGAGCGAAAGCCAGGGGAGCAAACGGG
rnacentral:rRNA from 1 species